GGGUUGUGAGGUUAAGCGACUAAGCGUACACGGUGGAUGCCCUGGCAGUCAGAGGCGAUGAAGGACGUGCUAAUCUGCGAUAAGCGUCGGUAAGGUGAUAUGAACCGUUAUAACCGGCGAUUUCCGAAUGGGGAAACCCAGUGUGUUUCGACACACUAUCAUUAACUGAAUCCAUAGGUUAAUGAGGCGAACCGGGGGAACUGAAACAUCUAAGUACCCCGAGGAAAAGAAAUCAACCGAGAUUCCCCCAGUAGCGGCGAGCGAACGGGGAGGAGCCCAGAGCCUGAAUCAGUGUGUGUGUUAGUGGAAGCGUCUGGAAAGGCGCGCGAUACAGGGUGACAGCCCCGUACACAAAAAUGCACAUAUUGUGAGCUCGAUGAGUAGGGCGGGACACGUGGUAUCCUGUCUGAAUAUGGGGGGACCAUCCUCCAAGGCUAAAUACUCCUGACUGACCGAUAGUGAACCAGUACCGUGAGGGAAAGGCGAAAAGAACCCCGGCGAGGGGAGUGAAAAAGAACCUGAAACCGUGUACGUACAAGCAGUGGGAGCACGCUUAGGCGUGUGACUGCGUACCUUUUGUAUAAUGGGUCAGCGACUUAUAUUCUGUAGCAAGGUUAACCGAAUAGGGGAGCCGAAGGGAAACCGAGUCUUAACUGGGCGUUAAGUUGCAGGGUAUAGACCCGAAACCCGGUGAUCUAGCCAUGGGCAGGUUGAAGGUUGGGUAACACUAACUGGAGGACCGAACCGACUAAUGUUGAAAAAUUAGCGGAUGACUUGUGGCUGGGGGUGAAAGGCCAAUCAAACCGGGAGAUAGCUGGUUCUCCCCGAAAGCUAUUUAGGUAGCGCCUCGUGAAUUCAUCUCCGGGGGUAGAGCACUGUUUCGGCAAGGGGGUCAUCCCGACUUACCAACCCGAUGCAAACUGCGAAUACCGGAGAAUGUUAUCACGGGAGACACACGGCGGGUGCUAACGUCCGUCGUGAAGAGGGAAACAACCCAGACCGCCAGCUAAGGUCCCAAAGUCAUGGUUAAGUGGGAAACGAUGUGGGAAGGCCCAGACAGCCAGGAUGUUGGCUUAGAAGCAGCCAUCAUUUAAAGAAAGCGUAAUAGCUCACUGGUCGAGUCGGCCUGCGCGGAAGAUGUAACGGGGCUAAACCAUGCACCGAAGCUGCGGCAGCGACGCUUAUGCGUUGUUGGGUAGGGGAGCGUUCUGUAAGCCUGUGAAGGUGUGCUGUGAGGCAUGCUGGAGGUAUCAGAAGUGCGAAUGCUGACAUAAGUAACGAUAAAGCGGGUGAAAAGCCCGCUCGCCGGAAGACCAAGGGUUCCUGUCCAACGUUAAUCGGGGCAGGGUGAGUCGACCCCUAAGGCGAGGCCGAAAGGCGUAGUCGAUGGGAAACAGGUUAAUAUUCCUGUACUUGGUGUUACUGCGAAGGGGGGACGGAGAAGGCUAUGUUGGCCGGGCGACGGUUGUCCCGGUUUAAGCGUGUAGGCUGGUUUUCCAGGCAAAUCCGGAAAAUCAAGGCUGAGGCGUGAUGACGAGGCACUACGGUGCUGAAGCAACAAAUGCCCUGCUUCCAGGAAAAGCCUCUAAGCAUCAGGUAACAUCAAAUCGUACCCCAAACCGACACAGGUGGUCAGGUAGAGAAUACCAAGGCGCUUGAGAGAACUCGGGUGAAGGAACUAGGCAAAAUGGUGCCGUAACUUCGGGAGAAGGCACGCUGAUAUGUAGGUGAAGUCCCUUGCGGAUGGAGCUGAAAUCAGUCGAAGAUACCAGCUGGCUGCAACUGUUUAUUAAAAACACAGCACUGUGCAAACACGAAAGUGGACGUAUACGGUGUGACGCCUGCCCGGUGCCGGAAGGUUAAUUGAUGGGGUCAGCGCAAGCGAAGCUCUUGAUCGAAGCCCCGGUAAACGGCGGCCGUAACUAUAACGGUCCUAAGGUAGCGAAAUUCCUUGUCGGGUAAGUUCCGACCUGCACGAAUGGCGUAAUGAUGGCCAGGCUGUCUCCACCCGAGACUCAGUGAAAUUGAACUCGCUGUGAAGAUGCAGUGUACCCGCGGCAAGACGGAAAGACCCCGUGAACCUUUACUAUAGCUUGACACUGAACAUUGAGCCUUGAUGUGUAGGAUAGGUGGGAGGCUUUGAAGUGUGGACGCCAGUCUGCAUGGAGCCGACCUUGAAAUACCACCCUUUAAUGUUUGAUGUUCUAACGUUGACCCCUAAUCGGGGUUGCGGACAGUGUCUGGUGGGUAGUUUGACUGGGGCGGUCUCCUCCUAAAGAGUAACGGAGGAGCACGAAGGUUGGCUAAUCCUGGUCGGACAUCAGGAGGUUAGUGCAAUGGCAUAAGCCAGCUUGACUGCGAGCGUGACGGCGCGAGCAGGUGCGAAAGCAGGUCAUAGUGAUCCGGUGGUUCUGAAUGGAAGGGCCAUCGCUCAACGGAUAAAAGGUACUCCGGGGAUAACAGGCUGAUACCGCCCAAGAGUUCAUAUCGACGGCGGUGUUUGGCACCUCGAUGUCGGCUCAUCACAUCCUGGGGCUGAAGUAGGUCCCAAGGGUAUGGCUGUUCGCCAUUUAAAGUGGUACGCGAGCUGGGUUUAGAACGUCGUGAGACAGUUCGGUCCCUAUCUGCCGUGGGCGCUGGAGAACUGAGGGGGGCUGCUCCUAGUACGAGAGGACCGGAGUGGACGCAUCACUGGUGUUCGGGUUGUCAUGCCAAUGGCACUGCCCGGUAGCUAAAUGCGGAAGAGAUAAGUGCUGAAAGCAUCUAAGCACGAAACUUGCCCCGAGAUGAGUUCUCCCUGACCCUUUAAGGGUCCUGAAGGAACGUUGAAGACGACGACGUUGAUAGGCCGGGUGUGUAAGCGCAGCGAUGCGUUGAGCUAACCGGUACUAAUGAACCGUGAGGCUUAACCUUACAACGCCGAAGCUGUU
rnacentral:rRNA from 1 species